rnacentral:lncRNA from 1 species
GACGAAAAACACAUACCACAAAAGAACCGGCUUUUUAUUGGGAUUGUUCCAAGUUUCAAUUUAAUCAUUCAGCAACAGAAGGCAAACGGCCUACGUACGCACGGGGCACUGAACGGGGGGCCGGGGAUCCAGUGGCGAGCAGAAGACACGCGACGCCUACUACCGCGCAGGCCGGUCGGUGGUGAGACGGGACUACGGACGUCAUCGACCCGGCGCGGCCAGACGUCAGUCACUGUCACUGAACGUCAGCAACAGGCAAGGCCUUCUGCCACCGCGGCGCGUCGGUGCGCGCGAAGACGGGCACCCGAGCCCUGGUCCCCGACUCUGCGGUCCUGGACCUCACGGCCCAUCCAACUGCCCAGUACGGCCAAAGCAGGCGGCAUUUCAUGGAUGUCAAACCCGAACGCCGAAUCGACGUCAGCGAGUCGGGGAGGUCUGCAGAGACUCCGGAGCAUUACCUGGAGAAGAGGAACAGAGACUCAGGAGGUCAAGCCAGGUCAUGCGGCCAGCAGGAGGACGAGGGGCAAUCUCGCUCAGUUCUGUCUGCUCCAAAGAGCCUGCUCACCCUGCUCCCCAGGGGUUUCUUUAGGUUGGAUGCCGUCCUCUAACCUGAGUGAUGUCUUCAAUCGCUUCCUUGUGAUCUGACCUACUUCGGACCUGGAAUCCAUCGUGACCUUCCCCAAGGACGGGACCACAGGCAAGGCUGCAAAGAACAUCCUUGUCCAAGGGGAGGGCUGGAAGGGCUGGGUCAUACACUGGGUUAACCUCAUGGAGAAUUAGGUUAAAUGAUUCGAUUAAAAGUUUCCAGUUCAGGGGCACUUGGGGGCUUAGCAUCUGCCUUUAGCCCAGGUCAUGAUCUCGGGAUCCUGGGAUCGAGUCCCCCAUCUGGCUCUCUGCUCAGCAGAGAGUCUGCUUCUCCCUCUGCCCCUCCCCCUGCUCAUUCUCUCUCUCCCUCUCUCUCUCUCUCUCUCAAAAAAAUAAAUAAGUAAAUAAAAUCAAUCUUGAAAAAAAAUGUUCCUGAUCAUUCCAGGAGAUGGCCGCACGAAUUCACACUCUCGCCAACAGUAUUUAGAAGGCUCUUUAGAGCCUUUACCCACUUCCUGCCCUUCCCCAGCGCUUGGUUUUUUCAGCCCUUUGGUGUGGGAAACCAAAAUUUUGUUUUUCUGGUUUCCUUUUCUCUGAUUGCUGAUGAAUUUAACAGAGUAAGCGUGCUCGCCUUUCAGGUUUCUUUCUUGUAAAGUGUGAGUGCAUCUUUGGAAAACAUUAUAUGGUGUGAGGUAAGCAACGGGUUUAUUUAUUUUUUUCCCUGUAUAUAGGGAACCAGUUUUCCCAAUACCAUUUACCUAAAUACACACACACACACACACACACACGCACACACACCAUAUAUAUAAAAAUCGUUUCCCUAUUCAUAGUGAUGCCAGUUUCUUGAACUAGGUUGCCAAAUAUUCAUGGGUCUGUCUGAAUACUCCAUGCAUUUCCCUUGGUUUAUCUCUUUUAGUGCUAUUUUUAUUAAAACGGCUUUGUGGUCUGUCUUAAUUUCUGGUAAGGUCAAUCGUCUUUCUUUUUGGUUUUAAAAGUUGACUGACCCAGUUGUCUAGGUGGCUCAGUCUGUUAAACAUCUGCCUUCGGCUCAGCUCAUGAUCCUGGGGUCCUGGGAUCGAGUCCCACAUCAGGCUCCCUGCUCAGUGGGAGUCUGUCUUCCCUCUGCCUGCUGUUCCUCCU